rnacentral:piRNA from 3 species
UCUGAGGGUCCAGGGUUCAUGUCCCUGU